ACAUGGGUUGUAAAUAGUCUAUCAGCAACAUUAUUUAUUAUUUACCUUCAAGCUAAACAACAUGGUGCCUUUGGUUCUUCAUGUGUCCCAACUGAUUUCUUAUCUUCUUCCUCUGCUUAUUUGCAUAUAUUCUUAAUGUUGCUUCGUUUUCAUUGAGAGGCUAGACUUCAUUUUGGUGCCACUACAGCGAUUUUUUUCUAUGAAGUGGAAAAAGGGGUCAGAAACUGAAUAUUGUUAUGCCAACACACUUCUUGCUGGCGUGUGCUUUUAUAAAUAAGAUUCAUGCUGCUGAAGAGAAUGUGAACAACAACAUUUGCUUCUACUAGGUACUUCCAUUUAUUGACAUUCACCUGCUUGUGUUGUAACAUUUAGUUCCAUCUAAGGCCCAUCAAUUAGUUAUAAGUUUUUGUACAUUUGAAUUAAGCUUCGGGGAAGAGUAGCAAAUCAUAAUUUUGAAACAUGGAUCCUUGCAUCGGUGAAUUUCUUAUGUGGGUAUAUAAAUUGUUACUACUUCGUUGGCACAGUAUGAUUUUCCGAAAUCCCUUUGGCCCAAUAUUUGCCAUGUCUUUGUUUCCUCCUUCGCUUAUAUUAAAUUUCAGCCUGAACUUAUGUUUUUUACUAACCCUAUCAGAUCAUUAUUUAUUCUAAUUUUUGUGCAAUUUUCUAUAUCGUCUUUUCUGAUUGCACUAAAACUUUCUUGUGGUAAUAUGAUCUAUUUUGUAAGUUUUGCGGUUUAUCUGUUCGUGUUUUGCAGGUGAAAAAAUGCCUUGAACGGGUACAUGCAUGGUUUGGAAAGCUAAUUAGUUGGGAAAGGUACAUGCAUAGUUUGGAAAGCCAAUAAUCUUCAGCAAGGAUACACAGACUCAUUUCUUUUUUUUUGUUUUGUAGACAUUGCUUGAUCCAAAUUAGAAUAAAAGAUCAAUUGACGAGGCUGUACUAAACCACAUAUUUAUUACAUAUUUAUUACUGAGUAGUAAUAGUAUAGUCUCUUAAUUAUCCUUUUAAAAUUAAAUUUAUGUUUACCUAUUAUUAGAGAAUUAGAAAAGCAUAGGCUCUUCGGAAGCUUUCUUGCCAAAAAAGAAGGCCCUUCAAAAGCUAAUACAUGUAUAUAUAUGAUCACAUUAUAUGCAUGUUUUUCUUCUUUAAUUUUCAAAUGCUUAUAAAUCAUCCACAAAAGUAGUGUAGCUUGUAACUCUGUAGGUGUUGAAGUGUAAUAAAAAUAAUAUAGGUUUUGUUCUGCCGAGAGGUCAUGCAAUGCUUCUCUAUUUCCAUUUCAGGUCGGGUUACCUUCAAUACAUUGCAUGGAUUCUUGCACAUAUUAUUUACUUUAUUUUUGUAACUUCUAAUUACUUGCAAGUUUAAGUUAUUUGUCUUCUGGAUUGUACGAAUGAUUUUCGCUAAUACGCUGCACACAUCUUCACCAUUGACAGUUAUAUACGUUUGAUUUCCUGAAGCAUAAGAUGAAUCAUUUAUAUAUACAUUUGAUUUCCUGAAGCAUAAGAUGAAUCAUUUAUAUGUACAUUUGAUUUCCUAAAGCAUAAGAAUAACCAUGUAUGGUUUUCUUUCCAUGUGGAAAUUAUUAUGAUAUCAUUUAUCAGAGGUGCACACAUGCAUGAUUUUCUUCUACAGAAAUUCAGAUUUAGAACUUAGAUUCGGCAAUUAUUUGACAUGCCAUGUAGUGUGUACUACGCCACUCACAAAAAGCGUAGGCUCCAUUGAGCGGCUUUGGCAGAGUUAAUCCGUACGUGGAUGUUUAGCUGAAUCCUGAAGUAUAACUUUUACGGUUUCCUGCAUAUUAUUGUUAAGGUUACUGCAAUUAGUCCACUGAUUGAAGGCUAGAUGUUGCUUCUUGAUCAACCCUGCUAGCUUUUAGAUGUUGUUUAAGUUAUAGGGAGAGCUAUUAUGUCAAUUUAUUUUUUGACAUUUUCAUUUGAAAGUAGCCAAAGCUACAACUGGACAUGUAGAUUGUAUACAUAACUUUUAUGAAACAACUUUUAUCAGACUAUUGUAUCCUUUUCCAUAUUUUGUGAUUGAAUUAUGUUUACC
rnacentral:lncRNA from 1 species